rnacentral:rRNA from 1 species
AGCGGCGGACGGGUGAGUAACACGUGGGCAACCUGCCUGUAAGACUGGGAUAACUCCGGGAAACCGGAGCUAAUACCGGAUACUAUGUCAAACCGCAUGGUUUGACAUUCAAAGACGGUUUCGGCUGUCACUUACAGAUGGGCCCGCGGCGCAUUAGCUAGUUGGUGAGGUAAUGGCUCACCAAGGCGACGAUGCGUAGCCGACCUGAGAGGGUGAUCGGCCACACUGGGACUGAGACACGGCCCAGACUCCUACGGGAGGCAGCAGUAGGGAAUCUUCCGCAAUGGACGAAAGUCUGACGGAGCAACGCCGCGUGAGUGAUGAAGGUUUUCGGAUCGUAAAACUCUGUUGUCAGGGAAGAACAAGUGCCGGAGUAACUGCCGGCGCCUUGACGGUACCUGACCAGAAAGCCACGGCUAACUACGUGCCAGCAGCCGCGGUAAUACGUAGGUGGCAAGCGUUGUCCGGAAUUAUUGGGCGUAAAGCGCGCGCAGGCGGUUUCUUAAGUCUGAUGUGAAAGCCCCCGGCUCAACCGGGGAGGGUCAUUGGAAACUGGGAAACUUGAGUGCAGAAGAGGAGAGUGGAAUUCCACGUGUAGCGGUGAAAUGCGUAGAGAUGUGGAGGAACACCAGUGGCGAAGGCGACUCUCUGGUCUGUAACUGACGCUGAGGCGCGAAAGCGUGGGGAGCGAACAGGAUUAGAUACCCUGGUAGUCCACGCCGUAAACGAUGAGUGCUAAGUGUUAGAGGGUUUCCGCCCUUUAGUGCUGCAGCUAACGCAUUAAGCACUCCGCCUGGGGAGUACGGUCGCAAGACUGAAACU